rnacentral:rRNA from 1 species
GACGAACGCUGGCGGCGUGCUUAACACAUGCAAGUCGAACGGAAAGGCCCUGCUUUUGUGGGGUGCUCGAGUGGCGAACGGGUGAGUAACACGUGAGUAACCUGCCCUUGACUUUGGGAUAACUUCAGGAAACUGGGGCUAAUACCGGAUAGGAGCUCCUGCUGCAUGGUGGGGGUUGGAAAGUUUCGGCGGUUGGGGAUGGACUCGCGGCUUAUCAGCUUGUUGGUGGGGUAGUGGCUUACCAAGGCUUUGACGGGUAGCCGGCCUGAGAGGGUGACUGGCCACAUUGGGACUGGGAUACGGCCCAGACUCCUACGGGAGGCAGCAGUGGGGAAUAUUGCACAAUGGGCGGAAGCCUGAUGCAGCAACGCCGCGUGCGGGAUGACGGCCUUCGGGUUGUAAACCGCUUUCGCCUGUGACGAAGCGUGAGUGACGGUAAUGGGUAAAGAAGCACCGGCUAACUACGUG